UACGUAGGGUGCAAGCGUUGUCCGGAAUUAUUGGGCGUAAGAGCUCGUAGGCGGUCUGUCACGUCGGCUGUGAAAUCCCGAGGCUCAACCUCGGGUCUGCAGUCGAUACGGGCAAACUAGAGUAUUGCAGGGGAGACUGGAAUUCCUGGUGUAGCGGUGAAAUGCGCAGAUAUCAGGAGGAACACCGGUGGCGAAGGCGGGUCUCUGGGCCGAUACUGACGCUGAGGAGCGAAAGCGUGGGGAGCGAACAGG
rnacentral:rRNA from 1 species